CCGUCACACCAUGGGAGUGCAUUGCACCAGAAGUAGAUAGCUUAACCUUCGGGAUGGCGUUUACCACGGUGUGGUCCAUGACUGGGGUGAAGUCGUAACAAGGUAGCACUAGGGGAACCUGGGGCUGGAUCACCUCCUUACGGAUGGCACUCAUUUAAGUGACUAAAUUAUCAGACGCUCUAUUAAAGAACAAUUUGCGAAACUGCAAUAAAUUAUUUCAAAGAACAAAGAGUUAACUUUGAGGUUACUUAUUCAAGUAAUUAAGUGCUAAAGGUGAAUGCCUUGGCAUCUAGAGGCAUGAAGGACGUUGUAACUUGCGAUAAGCCCCGGUGAGCCAGUACACAGGCUAUGACCCG
rnacentral:misc_RNA from 1 species